AGAGUUUGAUCCUGGCUCAGGAUGAACGCUAGCGGCAGGCUUAAUACAUGCAAGUCGAGGGGCAGCAUGACUGUAGCAAUACAGUCGAUGGCGACCGGCAAACGGGUGCGGAACACGUACACAACCUUCCUUUAAGCGGGGAAUAGCCCAGAGAAAUUUGGAUUAAUACCCCAUAGUAAAUCGAGUAGGCAUCUAUUUGAUUUUAAAGAUUUAUCACUUGAAGAUGGGUGUGCGGCUGAUUAGAUAGUUGGCGGGGUAACGGCCCACCAAGUCUGCGAUCAGUAACUGGUGUGAGAGCACGACCAGUCACACGGGCACUGAGACACGGGCCCGACUCCUACGGGAGGCAGCAGUAAGGAAUAUUGGUCAAUGGACGAAAGUCUGAACCAGCCAUGCCGCAUGGAGGAUGAAGGUCCUCUGGAUUGUAAACUUCUUUUAUCUGGGACGAAAAAAGGCUUUUCUAAGUCGUCUGACGGUACCAGAUGAAUAAGCACCGGCUAACUCCGUGCCAGCAGCCGCGGUAAUACGGAGGGUGCAAGCGUUAUCCGGAUUCACUGGGUUUAAAGGGUGCGUAGGUGGGUUGGUAAGUCAGUGGUGAAAUCUCCGAGCUUAACUUGGAAACUGCCAUUGAUACUAUCAGUCUUGAAUAUUGUGGAGGUCAGCGGAAUAUGUCAUGUAGCGGUGAAAUGCUUAGAUAUGACAUAGAACACCAAUUGCGAAGGCAGCUGGCUACACAUAUAUUGACACUGAGGCACGAAAGCGUGGGGAUCAAACAGGAUUAGAUACCCUGGUAGUCC
rnacentral:rRNA from 1 species